GCCCCGAUAGUCUAGUCCGGCCAAGGAUGCUGCCCUUUCGAGGCAGCGACGCGGGUUCAAAGAGAAAUGCGGAGUUUGUUUUUGAAUUCCGUUUUUGUGAAAAUCCCGCUCGGGGCA
rnacentral:tRNA from 2 species